CUGAGCGUGUGCAAUGUUGUAAUAGAGGUACAAGCAACACAGGGAUAGGGAGAAGGUGAUCCACAUUGCAGGGGCCUAAUUACAGGGGGCCCUGAAUGCCAAGCCAAGACUUGGAAAAUUAGAAGGUCUACAAGGACUCCAGAACUCUCCAGGAGUGAUGAAAGAUGGUGUCUUAGCCUGGGUUUCUGCAACAAGCAGAGCCUAGCACAACAUGGUGGUUUACUUUGAAAAGUGAUCCCAAGAAACAGGAGUGAGAGGCUCGGAAGAGUCAAACGGAAAGAGGACAAGCCAACCAAGGCUGUGCCUGGGUGCAUCACGAUUCACCUAAAAAUCACCACUGAAAUCCGCAGCAGGCAAUUGUGCCAGACAACAGGUGAUGACGGGGGCAAACACGACUCAGCUUCUGCCUGCAGCAUCUACAGUCAUGGAAGGAGACCUCCGUGAAAGUGUGGUGUUUGCUGUGAGAGGGAGCAGACGCUCACUGCCAUAGAUCUCAGAGACCACCAAGGCUGAAUAAGCUGAACAACGCAUGCGGAAAGUCCACAGGCCUGCACACCAAUGGCCACAGCCUGUUCUCUCCCUGCAGGUAGGACACUCAUGCGGUACCACCCUUCCUGAGGACACCUUCCUUCCAUUGCCUGGACAGCAGCAUCCUGCCCUGGGCCACCCUCCAUGUGGAUGCCCUUCCCACUUCCCCAGGGCACUGACUCCAAGCGCAAGAAUUUUCUAGAAGGGAGAGGAAGAAGCAUCGAGCUGGUUCUCUUGGCCUGUUCCUGGAUCCCAUCCUUCUCCUUUGUUCCCGGCUCCUCCAUUCUCUAGGAAUCUCAAUCUCUUCCGGCAUUGCUGAGUUCUCAAGCUCUCUACUUUCCACUGAGCCUGUGAGUCCAGCAGGGACUGGGGUUGGGAUGCAGUUUUCAGAGACCUGUGACUACACCUUUGUUACUGGAUAGACUCCUCAGCCCUGGAUCAGCCACAGCCCUCUCCCAGGAAGCCCCUCAACUCUCUGCUAUUACCCUUCUCCAAGGCCUGAAAACAGGACUCUCUCUUCGAGAAGAUCACAGACCCUUGAGAAGAUACAGAAAUUCUCUGCUCGGCCCAAGUCAAAAUAAAAUGACUGAAUAGGCCAGGGCAGCACAGACGAGAGAGGAGUUUUCUCUGGGGCAGUGGUUCUCCAAGUGUAGUCACUGAGCAAGCAGCAGCAGAGUCAGCUGGGAACUUGUGGGACAUACAGAUCCUGGAGCCCCACCCAGACUACUGAAGCAGAACCUCCUGGGGUGGCGCUGGCAAUCUGUGUUUUAAUAAGCCCUCCUCAUUCUGAUGUCCUCUAAAGUGUGAGAACCACAGCUCCAGAAUACUGCAGGGCAGUGACGGGUGGAGGAGAAGGAGUAGGGCUGACUUCUCAGAAGAGUCCCGAAGACCUUGUCCUUGAGUCUGCAGAGAAGUUCACCAGGCAGACAAAGAAAGAAAGAGCAAGCCCAGGCAUACCCACAAGUACCAUCUGAGCUCUGCAUACCUUCUGAUAUAUGUUUAAUAAUCUUGGAAUAACAAUUGUAUUGAUAUUAUGUUGUUUAGAGUAAGUGGCAAUGUAUUCUUUGAAGAGUUAAAACUGUUUUCUGUGUUUAGAAAAGUUCUCACUUGAACUUAAUUUUGUGUUCUAAAUUUAACUAAGGAUUAUUUUUAUACAAACUUUUGAAAGCUUACUAAAUUUAUCUGAUUAACUUGUUAACAGUAGGUAGUUAGGCAGACAUAAGCAGGGCAGACCCCCACCCCCACCCCAGGAACGUCAGACAACCAUCAGGUGAUGGUCAGGAAGUUGUUCCACUGCUCCCUAAAAUAAUAACUGAUCGCACCCAGCACCAGGGAAAGGCAGUCUCCCAAUAGAUAGAAAACACCUGGCCGGGCACGGUGGCUCACGCCUGUAA
rnacentral:lncRNA from 10 species